rnacentral:rRNA from 1 species
UACGUAGGGGGCAAGCGUUGUCCGGAUUUAUUGGGCGUAAAGAGCGUGUAGGCGGCCAGGUAGGUCCGUUGUGAAAACUCGAGGCUCAACCUCGAGACGUCGGCGGAAACCCUCUGGCUAGAGUCCGGAAGGGGAGACUGGAAUUCCUGGUGUAGCGGUGAAAUGCGCAGAUAUCAGGAGGAACACCGGUGGCGAAGGCGGGUCUCUGGGCCGAUACUGACGCUGAGGAGCGAAAGCGUGGGGAGCGAACAGG